GCUUUGACUACCAAGUCAGCUGAUUGCAAUGAGUGCCCAGGGACUCUGCUGCAAUGCUGAUACUGAGAAGGAGUGACCACAAGGACAGACCCUUCUGCUACAGGAGCCCACCAGAGCUGAAGUGCUUAGUGGCUCUUUUUAGGUUUUUUUUUUAAAACGUGUUCUCAGUAUGAUCUUCAGGCUGACCUCUAACUCACCAUUCUCCUGACACAUCCUUCCAAGGCCUGGGAUUACAGAGUCAGCCUCCGAAGCUCCUCCUGUAGAACCCACUCUUAAGGAGCACAUACGGAGACAAUGUGAGCUGGAGCAUUCAAGAGGACUGAGACAUAGAGACAAGGUGCUGGACAGGCAAGAGGAGCCUUCCAGGAAGAGUCCUGGCCUGAGCAGAAUGGAAGAGAAUUCGUGUACAGUGGAUUCCUAUGAGACAGCUUCAUGAAGUCCUAAGGAGAAGGAGGCUGAAGCCUAUGGCCAAAUGACUGGCAGAAGCUGCUGAAGAACUGGUCCAUCACAUGGACAUUUCAUGGUUCUCUUAGAACAAGCAUCUGGGACUUCCUCUCGAUUCAGGUUACAGUCCAUCAGGGAAGAAAGCCAAGGCAGGAACCUGAAGACAGGAACUGAAGCAGAGACUAUGGAGAAAGGCUACUCAUUGACUCCUUCCUUGUGAUUUGCUCAGCUUGCUUUCUUGUACAACCCAAUACCAUCUACUCAGGGGUUGUACCUCACACAGUGGGCUGGAUCUUCUCACAGAAAUCAUUAAUAAAGAAAAUGCCCCAUAGGUCACUCUUCCCAGGAAAAUUAACCAGCAUAUUCCCACAAGGCUCCUCAUGUGACCACCUUGUGGGAAGAAAGCUCAAAUGUGGGGGACUGAGAGUGUGAAGACAGUGGACAAGUGCUCACUCUCCCAGGGAUGUCUGUUCUACUUGGUAUUCCAGGGUUGGCCUCUAUUGGGUUCUUUGUCAGCUCAUCAGCCUGGCAUGCUACCAUGUGAGUGUGCUCUAUUUAUCAACCUUUUGCAUUCCAAAGAGUCCUGGAUCUGCCUCCUUUACAAAAUAAUACUGAAAGUGAAUGUAUUUGGUGUUGGUGCUAGCAUCUUGUGGAUGCUAGGUGAGCAUUCUGUUACUAAGCUAUAUCAUCUUUUAAAAUUUUUUUUUUUAUUUUGAGACAGAUUCAAUAAGUUAACCAGAAUACUUUGUAUCCCAGAUUGGCCUUGAAUUUGUAAUCUUCCUAUCUCAGCCUUCCAAGUUGUUACUGAAAUUAAAGGUCUUUACCACCAGG